UUAGUCUUAUAAUUUAAGACUGGAAUGAAAGGAUAGACUAAAAAGACUUUUUCUUUAAUCAUAUACAUCAAAUUUUACCUUUUAGUAAAAAGGCUAAAAUUUUGUUUAAGGACAAGAAGACCCUAUGAAAUUUUACAUAUUAAUAAGAUAAAACUUAAAAACAUGUUUCACUGGGGCGGUGAAAAACUUAACAUUUUUUAAUUUAACUAUUUCUAUUAAAAUAACCAAAACUUUUGAAGUAAAACAAACUACUCUAGGGAUAACAGCGUUAUUUAUUUAAAAAGUCCCUAUUGACAAAUAAGCUUGCGACCUCGAUGUUGGAUUAAAAUCCCUUUCUAAGCA
rnacentral:rRNA from 1 species